UUCAAUUAUAAUUAAAGAUUCUGCGCAGAUUUUCCUCCUCCGUGAAAAGAUAUUCCUCUUCCGUAAUCUGCAAAUAAAAUACCAAAUAAAUUCAAUUAAAUCAAAAACAAGAAAAAAAAGAGAAAUUCGAAUCCUCCCUCUAAUCCCACGACUAAACCCACUCUCUCCCCCCUAAAAUCUCUCCCACAUCCAAACCACCCAUCUCUCUAAUUUAAUCACCAAAUCUAUUCAUUCUGCCUAUUCUACACGUCCUCUGCAGCAAGAACCUCUUCAAAUUUCAAUUCAAGGUAAUCAACUUCAUCAAUUCGUUUUGUAGACUCCUCAAUGUUGUUCGAAAUCAACAUCUGUAAUCUCUGUUGACAGAAACCACAUCCGGAGGAACCUCUUUGUUCACCCAACACAAUUUUCAUUCCAAUUCAACUGCAGGAAGAAGGUGAAUCAUCGCAAGGGAAUCGUGAUCGCAAAGGAAAGAACGUAAUUUCAAAUUAAGCACUCGAGGUACAACAUCCGUAGGAGCACAACUAAUCGACUUCAGCAAAAAAUUAGCUCGUAAGCAGCUUUUCCCUUGCAGCUUUGCCUUUCUCCUGGAGAGGAUAGAUUUUAACGAAACUAAAUUUUCAUAUCCUCUAUAUUAUCUUGAAAAUUCAACGGCCUUGCCCGAUGACUAUUGGGCAUCAACAACAAGACCUCCGGUGGUGCGGCUGACCUGGAAGGUUGGGGCAGACAACUGCAGUCGAGCUAAGUUGAAUUCCUCUACAUAUAUGACAGGAGUGUUUGCGUUGAUCUCGAUAGUGGUGGAUACCUAUGCAGUUGCGUCCAAGGAUAUGAGGGCAAUCCUUACCUACUCGAAGGAUGCCAAAGUUAGUGCUCUUUUACUUCUCCAUUUUAUUCAUUUAAGAGAACUACAUUUUUAGUCUAUAGACAUUGUACUACUCCCUACGUUCCAUAUUAAUAGAGUCAUUUUU